UUGAAAUAAUUUGUUGGAUACAUUUACUUUUAGGCUUUAAUUAAAAAAAAGCCCCAUUAGACAAUAAAGAAAUAGGUAAACAGCUCAUUAUCUUCAUGUUGAUCUCCAAGUCCAACUGUUGCCGGUGCAUCAAAAAAGAAAUCAGUUUGACGCUUGGCAAGCAAGGUGGAAGCUUGGGAAGAAGCGGGUCAAACGGAUCAAAUAUGCGAAAAAGCAUAAUUUGAUGCAAGGUAAUAAUUUGAAGUAUCGGACGACGAUCAAGCUCAACAAAGAACCGGACACGAUCAAAGUUCAAGUUUCCGCAUUACAAUUAGUCGUUUACAAAAAUAAUCAACGAUAACAUGCUGAAAUGUUUUAACUUUUAUGAACUUUUAUUAAACCCGAAACUUUGUAUGAACGUGUAUUUCAUUUCUUUU